CUCGCGUCUGCGGCCGCCAUCGCCGCCUCCACUCCAUCAAUCUUGCGUCUGCGCCGCCACCGCCAUAACCACCGGUCCAACGCGUCCGUUCUCCACGCCUCACUGCCACCACCGCCACCGCCGGCUCCUCUCGACGUGCUCUCGCCACCACAGCCGCCAUCGUUGUUUCCGCUCUGCAACCACCACCCCGUCGCCAUCCGCGGCGCCCACCCCACUACCCUCCUCCACUCCCACUCCCACACGGCCACGAGCACCACCAGUAUAGGCCGCUCGCUGUACCUGCACCGGGCAAGGGAAGCGAGCGAGAAGCAUCGCUGCUUAUUCCUUGCUUCCUCCUCACGUACACUGUCCUUUUGUUGGGGAAAUUAAUCUAUACCUUGGAGGCAGUGAUACAAAGAGGAUAAGGAAGAAAAAGGCUUAGAAACCAAGUGCAGAACAAAUUAUUAUAUAGCUAGGAGGCAGUGAUACAAGUACAAGAACAACAGGAAUAAGGGAAAAAAGGAUUAGAAACCAAGAUUGACGAUGAUAGCAUGGAAAUUGAGCAGACACAGUAUCCAGCUUCAUCAGAUACAACUACAAGUAAGAGACCCUAUGUAUCUACAACAGCAGUCACAGGAUGACCAAAAUGAAGAUGACUCGGGAAACAAAAUCAGCAAGAAGAGCUCUGGUCACAACAAAAAGCCUAAGCAGCAAUAAAUUUGGAACAAGCUGCAGAAUCAUUCGAUUCUGACAUAUUGAAGAUGUCUACAAGAUAACACUUGGUUCUUUUGUGUUAGUUCCACUUAAUUAUUAUGCAUACUUUAAGAUGUUGAUGUCUUUAGUGUUACCUCAUUUUGGACCAUGGUGGACAUACUUCACAGCUAAUGUAAAGCUGAUAGUUUUGCCUUUUGGUACGGCUAGACGACUUCAAUCCUGUGUAUAUUUUUUGUCACAGCUAAUGUAAACCUCUAAUAGUUAGGGCUCUUGGUAUGGCUAGAUGACUUUGAUCCUGUGUAUAUUUUA